rnacentral:rRNA from 1 species
ACACGUAGGGGGCGAGCGUUGUCCGGAAUUACUGGGCGUAAAGGGCGCGUAGGCGGCCUAAUAGGUCAGAUGUGAAAACCCUGGGCUUAACCCUGGGAUUGCAUUUGAAACUGUUGGGCUUGAGGGCAGGAGAGGAAAGCGGAGUUCCCAGUGUAGCGGUGAAAUGCGUAGAUAUUGGGAGGAACACCAGUGGCGAAGGCGGCUUUCUGGACUGAACCUGACGCUGAGGCGCGAAAGCCAGGGUAGCGAACGGGAUUAGAUACCCCGGUAGUCCUGGCCGUAAACGAUGGAUACUAGGUGUGGGAGGUAUCGACCCCUUCCGUGCCGGAGCAAACGCAAUAAGUAUCCCGCCUGGGGAGUACGGCCGCAAGGCUGAA